rnacentral:misc_RNA from 1 species
GAAAUGCGAUAAGUAAUGUGAAUUGCAGAAUUCAGUGAAUCAUCGAAUCUUUGAACGCACCUUGCGCUCCUUGGUAUUCCUUGGAGCAUGCCUGUUUGAGUAUCAUGAAAUCUUCAAAGUAAAUCUUUUGUUAACUCAAUUGGUUUCUACUUUGGUAUUGGAGGUCUUUGCAGCUUCACACCUGCUCCUCUUUGUUCAUUAGCGGGAUCUCAGUGUUAUGCUUGGUUCCACUCGGCGUGAUAAGUUAUCUAUCGCUGAGGACACUGUAAAAGGUGGCCAAGGUAAAUGCAGAUGAACCGCUUCUAAUAGUCCAUUGACUUGGACAAUACUUUUAUGAUCUGAUCUCAAAUCAGGUAGGACUACCCGCUGAACUUAAGC